GUAGCUAGCCCUAGGACAGGCUGUAAGUAGAGGAGGGACCAAGUGUCCAGGAAAUGCUCUGGGGGCCAGAGGAUGGAGCAGGAAGAGGAGCCUGACUGUAAAGCUGGGUUUUAAAGGAUGAAUAAGAGUUCUCCAAACCAUGUGGGGAAGAAGAGGAGAGAGCUCCAGGUUUUCCUUCUGGAACAGUCGCUCUUGGGGGAGCCAGCUGCCACGUCCUAAGGACACCUAGCCUGUGGAGACACCCACACGACAAGGAACUGAGGUCACCAGCCAGCAGCCAGUGGGGCAAGGAGGCUUCCUCCCUGUCAUCGAAGCAGGUCAGCCCCCAGCUCGCCUUUCUAACGGUGACAGCCUCACAGAACAGUGUGACGGCAACCUCGAGAGGCUCUGAGGCAGAAACACCCAGAGGUUAUAUGCUAAACGAAUGUUGCCUCAAAUCAAGGCUUACCCCACAGGUUCUAAAAAGGCAUCCAAGCAUAUUGCACAGAGCCUUGACCGUCUCCCUCAUUGCGGGCAGAUUCUUCACUGUCUGAGCCACCAGGGUAGCUCUGCUCCUGACAGUCUUUAGAGCUGCAUACACAGAGCGCCAGGAAUCACCAACCUGCAGAACCGGGGAACUCUCACAGCGGCUUUUGUUUUCUGGGAAAAUCGCAACUUUGUCAAAAGGUCAUCUUUCUUGGUUUAUCUGCACAAUCCAAAGUUUUACCCAAAUUUCACCUCUCACUUUGUGGUCAUUCUUCACACAAAAACCAACUUUUUAUUACUUUAAGAGAAUUGUGCUCUUUAGACAAAGAUAGUGGAGACCAGGGAAGCCUGGUGUGCCAAAGCCCAUAGGGUCGCAAAGAGUUGGACACGACUCAGCAACUGAACAAUGACAAGACAAAGACUAGGGCUCCCCUAGUGGCUCAGGGGUAAAGAACCUACCUGCCAAAGCAGGAGGCUCUGGUUCAGUCCCUGGGCUGAGGAGAUCCCCUGGAGUAAGAAAUGGCAACCUGCUCCAGU
ensembl:lncRNA